rnacentral:rRNA from 1 species
UUGGAGGGCAAGUCUGGUGCCAGCGGCCGCGGUAAUUCCAGCUCCAAUAGCGUAUAUUAAAGUUGUUGCAGUUAAAAAGCUCGUAGUUGAAUUUCGGGGUUAGUAGAUUGGUCAUGCCAUCGGUAUGCACUGGUCUCACUGAUUCCUCCUUCCUGAUGAGCCGUAAUGCCAUUAAUUUGGUGUUGCGGGGAAUUUGGACUGUUACUUUGAAAAAAUUAGAGUGUUUAAAGCAAGCUAACGCUUGAAUACAUUAGCAUGGAAUAAUGAAAUAGGACGUUCGAUCCUAUUUUGUUGGUUUCUAGGAUUGACGUAAUGAUUAAUAGGGAUAGUUGGGGGCAUUAGUAUUCAAUUGUCAGAGGUGAAAUUCUUGGAUUUAUUGAAGACUAACUACUGCGAAAGCAUUUGCCAAGGAUGUUUUCAUUAAUCAAGAACGAAAGUUAGGGGAUCGAAGACGAUCAGAUACCGUCGUAGUCUUAACCAUAAACUAUGCCGACUAGGGAUCGGAUGAUGUUAAUUUUUUAAUGACUCAUUCGGCGCCUUACGGGAAAC